rnacentral:rRNA from 1 species
UAAUACCCCAUAGAUUAGGGACGCUGGAAUGCACCCUAGUUCAAAGGUCCGCCGCCUCAGGAUGGGUCUGCGGCCGAUUAGGUUGUUGUUGGGGUAACGGCCCAACAAGCCUUUGAUCGGUACGGGUUGUGGGAGCAAGAGCCCGGAGAUGGAUUCUGAGACACGAAUCCAGGCCCUACGGGGCGCAGCAGGCGCGAAAACUUUACAAUGCGAGAAAUCGUGAUAAGGGAACCCCGAGUGCCCGUAAAUUCGGGCUGUCCGCCAGUGCAAAAAACUGGUGAAGAAAGAGCCGGGCAAGACCGGUGCCAGCCGCCGCGGUAAUACCGGCGGCUCGAGUGGUGGCCACUAUUACUGGGCUUAAAGCGUCCGUAGCUGGGUUGUUAAGUCUUCUGGGAAAUCCACCGGCUCAACCGAUGGGAGUUCAGGAGAUACUGGUGACCUAGGGACCGGGAGAGGUGAGAGGUACUCCAGGGGUAGGAGUGAAAUCCUGUAAUCCUUGGGGGACCACCUGUGGCGAAGGCGUCUCACCAGAACGGCUCCGACAGUGAGGGACGAAAGCUGGGGGAGCAAACCGGAUUAGAUACCCGGGUAGUCCCAGCUGUAAACGAUGCGCGUUAGGUGUAUCGGUGACCACGAGUCACCGAGGUGCCGAAGGGAAACCGUGAAACGUGCCGCCUGGGAAGUACGGUCGCAAGGCUGAAACUUAAAGGAAUUGGCGGGGGAGCACCACAACAGGUGGAGCCUGCGGUUUAAUCGGACUCAACGCCGGGAAGCUCACCGGAUAAGACAGCUGAAUGAUAGCCGGGUUGAAGACUCUGCUUGACUAGCUGAGAGGAGGUGCAUGGCCGUCGUCAGUUCGUACUGUGAAGCAUCCUGUUAAGUC